AGUAAUACAUCGGAACGUGUCUUCUAGUGGGGGAUAACUGCCCGAAAGGGCAGCUAAUACCGCAUGAGACCUGAGGGUGAAAGCGGGGGAUCGCAUGACCUCGCGCUGGAAGAGCGGCCGAUGUCCGAUUAGCUAGUUGGUGAGGUAAAGGCUCACCAAGGCGACGAUCGGUAGCUGGUCUGAGAGGACGACCAGCCACACUGGGACUGAGACACGGCCCAG
rnacentral:rRNA from 1 species